UAAACACUUUCUGCAGCGGCGAGGAAAUUCAGCGGAAAAGAGGAGAGCACAGUCCUAAAAUUGCGACUGGGCUCACCUCACAAUGAGACAGUCAGGACAUAUUUAGUUAAAACUUUGGCUGAAGUCCAGAUGUGGAGACAGACGUCCUUCUAUCUGAUUUUAAAAAGCAUUUUGAAACUCUACGGAGGAACUACCGCUACAGUCAACCCAACAUGGCGGAUCAGGCGGAGGCCAUGAAGGCUUCUGCCCGGAGUCGCCACAGAAGAAAGAGGCUGCUGGAUGCCAGGAAGACAGUCCUUGCUCCAGAUAAAGAGGACUUCUGGAAGGGCAUCACAACUGACGAUGUCAGAUGAAGAGGACGGCAGCGUUGACGGAGUGCGUGGAUGGAUAUUGCGGCCUCCAUCCUUCCACAGCCAGGAGCUUGCCAACCUGUGUGCAGCCCUACAGGCACGGCUGGAGGCUGAUGUAAAGUACACAGCUCUACAUCACAGGCGUUUUCGCAAUGGACAGCCGUCUGAUAGACUGAAGCCACUGAAGUACAACACGGCAGCAGCCAGAAAACAUUUUAAGCCAGAGCUGAUGCCUGAGACCAGCCUGGAGUGAGAGAUGAACUUGGCCAUUUUUUUGUUUUUGUUUUGAAAUGUGUGUGUGUGUGUGUGUGUGUGUGUGUG